AGUAAUGCCAAUGGCAAAAGAAGUGCUCAUCAGUGUUGUUUUAGCUGCAGGAGAAAUGCCAAAGAACUCGGAUCUACGCUGUGCACUAUCACCUCAUCAACUGACAGAAGGCAACACUCCUUAAGCAAAUGGUCCUGGUUCUAAUGGAUUUGAUGAAGAGGAUCCUUCCAUGACAGAUAUGCCAAUAGCAGCGCAGUACCUACUGCUUCUUGGGUAGCGUCCUGGAGACUGGCUACACUGCAAGGAUGAGGCCACUGUGAGACGUUUCUUUCUCCCUGACAUAUUUGGAUUUAUAGAAGGGUUCACUCU